rnacentral:snRNA from 1 species
GUGCCCGCUUCCGCAGCACAUAUACUAAAAAUUGGAAUGAUACAGAGAUUAGCAUGGCCCCGGUGCAAGGAUGAUAUUCAAAUUCAUGAAGCGUUCCAUUAAAAA